GUAUUUGGCCUAAGCACACAGAGGCAGCCAAAUCCUAUCCAAUCUUGGAAGUUAAGCAGGGCCAGGUAUGAUUAGUGCUUGGAUGGGCAAUCGGCGCAGAAUAACAAGUGCCGUAAGCU
rnacentral:rRNA from 11 species